CCUACGGGCGGCAGCAGUCGAGAAUCAUUCACAAUGGGGGAAACCCUGAUGGUGCGACGCCGCGUGGGGGAAUGAAGGUCUUCGGAUUGUAAACCCCUGUCAUGUGGGAGCAAAUUAAAAAGAUAGUACCACAAGAGGAAGAGACGGCUAACUCUGUGCCAGCAGCCGCGGUAAUACAGAGGUCUCAAGCGUUGUUCGGAAUCACUGGGCGUAAAGCGUGCGUAGGCUGUUUCGUAAGUCGUGUGUGAAAGGCGCGGGCUCAACCCGCGGACGGCACAUGAUACUGCGAGACUAGAGUAAUGGAGGGGGAACCGGAAUUCUCGGUGUAGCAGUGAAAUGCGGAGAUAUCGAGAGGAACACUCGUGGCGAAGGCGGGUUCCUGGACAUUAACUGACGCUGAGGCACGAAGGCCAGGGGAGCGAAAGGGAUUAGAUACCCCGGUAGUC
rnacentral:rRNA from 1 species